GACGAACGCUGGCGGCGUGCUUAACACAUGCAAGUCGAACGGAAAGGCCCUGCUUUUGUGGGGUGCUCGAGUGGCGAACGGGUGAGUAACACGUGAGUAACCUGCCCUUGACUUUGGGAUAACUUCAGGAAACUGGGGCUAAUACCGGAUAUGAGCUCCUGCUGCAUGGUGGGGGUUGGAAAGUUUCGGCGGUUGGGGAUGGACUCGCGGCUUAUCAGCUUGUUGGUGAGGUAGUGGCUUACCAAGGCUUUGACGGGUAGCCGGCCUGAGAGGGUGACCGGCCACAUUGGGACUGAGAUACGGCCCAGACUCCUACGGGAGGCAGAAGUGGGGAAUAUUGCACAAUGGGCGGAAGCCUGAUGCAGCAACGCCGCGUGCGGGAUGACGGCCUUCGGGGUGUAAACCGCUUUCGCCUGUGACGAAGCGUGAGUGACGGUAAUGGGUAAAGAAGCACCGGCUAACUACGUG
rnacentral:rRNA from 1 species